ACCAGUGGAAAUUCAAAUUAUGAAGAUUUACUUGAAUGUUCUCUGUUUUUUCAUGGUUGGGAGAAACAAGUAUUUGGGAGUAAGCAUCGUGAAAGAAAUUGAAAACUCUGCUGAUUGCUGUGGCAAGUUAUUUACAUGCAGAUUCUGCCAUGACAAACCCAGUGAGAUUUAAUGGAUAUGAAAGCUACGGCUGAAAUAUUGCGUAUGCAAUGCUUGAAAUUUCAUCCUGUUGGACCAGUUUGCUCAAUUUCUUCCUGUGGUGGACUAUCGAUAGCAGAGUGCUAUUGCAGUAUUUGCAAUUUUUUGGAUGAUAAAAGAACAAAGAUGUAACUGAUGCAAUUCAGAAGGUUGCUGCUGCUUAUGGCUGCAAAAUUGUUGAAUGUGUUUUUGUCCAUCAGCUGAAGCAGUUUGACAGGAACUACCACUUGAAGAUGAAAGCAUCUAGGUUUAUAUUCAGUGAAAUAAAUCAGAAAUUUCAACCCAUGCCAUUCACAGCUAGGAGAUUAUGUUGCUCACAUCAAAUUCACAGUUUUGCUAAUGUCAAAUGGUUCGAAUAGAGUCACAUCUCAUCCUCUGUAGGAGCUGCAGCCCACAAAGACAACAGAUGAACCCGAAAUCAAGGCCUUGUUAGCCUUGGGCACAAAUAAAAAGAAGAAAGGUAAAAUGGGUGACAAAGCUGAGGAGUCAACAGAAGC